rnacentral:misc_RNA from 1 species
ACAGAUGCAGAAUCUACAUAUACUGACUAUACUUUUAUAACUCAAAAAUCAAAUGCUUCAGAUUUAAGUACCAAUGUGAAUAGUGUUGUCAAUGCUUUUUUAACUGGGCCAAUGAUGCCAAUUUGUUAUGAACGAAGGCUUAAUAAUAAAGGAUCUGGCUUUAGUAAGUAAUGUUCAAGGUUCAUUGAUCUUGUCUGUCAGGUUUUGAGUUUUAGAUAUGGAAGUUCAGUAUCAAGAAAUGAAGAUUUUUUACUGAUUAGCAAUUUGAGGUGCUGAAAAGGAUCAUGUUUAGUUAGACUGCAAAUCUUUUGGUCAUAUGCAUUCUGCUGUUUCUUGCAUGUUUAUCUGCAUGCGCUUAUCUGAAUAUUGCUGUUUAUAUUGUUAGGAGUUUGCUUUCCAAUGGGAAA